UAUUUUUUAUUUUAAAAUUAUUUAAUCAAUAUAUUAAAUAUAUAAAAUUAAAAAUUUUGGCAGUAUUUUAUUGUAUUAGAGGAAUUUGUUCUAUAAUUGAUAAUCCACUUUAAAUUUUACUUUAUUUAGAAAUUUAUAUAUCGUUGUCAAAAAUUUUUCUAUUACUAGAUAAAUUUUAUAAAUAAAUUUAUUUUUAAAUAUGUCAAAUCAAGAUAUAAUUUAUAAUAAUGAUUGAAAUGAAUUACAUUAAAUUUAAUAUUACGAAUUUAAAAUUGAAAAAUUUUUUUAAAGGUGGAUUUAAAAGUAAAAUAUUUUAAAUUAAUAAAUUGAAUAAUAAUUAAAAUAUGUACAUAUUGCCCGUCACUUUCAAUAUGAAAAA
rnacentral:rRNA from 1 species